AUCUAGCCGACGAGUCCCAAAUACGACGAAAUGCGCAUCCUGGAU
rnacentral:hammerhead_ribozyme from 1 species